UAUGAGUCGGGUUCGGUCAGUGGCAAUGGGGACGUCAUCCCGAGCCUGUUUGGGAAUCUUCUUAGGCUCUCUGGAUGCAACUCCGAUGUCCAUGUCCUGGUUCAUGAAGAUCCUAGAAUCUCUGGCCAUGGCUGGGUUGCUGAGAGCGGUUCUGCAUCAGUCUCGUGCCGUGGCACUUCGGGGAUGCCGGGCGGUGACCGCACCGAGAGGCGGGGAGCGCAGCUGCUGGAGAAGCGGCCGAUCCAUGCCAUCACCAGCAAGCCGUGGUGGUCUUCUGAUCCCG
rnacentral:lncRNA from 1 species